GUGGGGAAUUUUGGACAAUGGGCGCAAGCCUGAUCCAGCAAUGCCGCGUGCAGGAAGAAGGCCUUCGGGUUGUAAACUGCUUUUGUACGGAACGAAAAGGCUCUGGUUAAUACCUGGGGCUCAUGACGGUACCGUAAGAAUAAGCACCGGCUAACUACGUGCCAGCAGCCGCGGUAAUACGUAGGGUGCAAGCGUUAAUCGGAAUUACUGGGCGUAAAGCGUGCGCAGGCGGUUUUGUAAGACAGACGUGAAAUCGCCGGGCUCAACCUGGGAGUGGCGUUGGUGACUGCAAAGCUGGAGUGAGGCAGAGGGGGAUGGAAUUCCGCGUGUAGCAGUGAAAUGCGUAGAUAUGCGGAGGAACACCGAUGGCGAAGGCAAUCCCCUGGGCCUGCACUGACGCUCAUGCACGAAAGCGUGGGGAGCAAACAGGAUUAGAUACCCGUGUAGUCC
rnacentral:rRNA from 1 species